rnacentral:rRNA from 1 species
CGAACGGGUGAGUAACGCGUGAGGAACCUGCCUCAAAGAGGGGGACAACAGUUGGAAACGACUGCUAAUACCGCAUAAGCCCACAGGUCGGCAUUGACCAGAGGGAAAAAGAGCAAUCCGCUUUGAGAUGGCCUCGCGUCCGAUUAGCUAGUUGGUGAGGUAAUAGCCCACCAAGGCGACGAUCGGUAGCCGGACUGAGAGGUUGAACGGCCACAUUGGGACUGAGACACGGCCCAG